GUAAGACAGAGCUUGCAAAUUUAAUAACUUUUUUAUUUCGAUUUGAUUCAGCCAAUACAACGCAAAUAAUAAUUUAAGUACUGGAGAAAAUAACAAGGAAACAAUUUUUGUUACCUAUACAGUUCUCUUUGUACAAGAAAUAGAAGUACGGGGCCUAACAGCUGCGUAAAUGUAGUGACUCAAUCGUCUGACGUUCCUUAGAAUCAACUAAUUACGCCAUUGCAGUCGAGUAAAAAGCUACGCUGAGUAAAAAGCUACACGUCAUAGAACAGCGUUCAGAAAAGGCUCAUGAAAUAAUUGCACAAGAGUUAGUACAUUUUAUAUCGACGUGCAUUUUUGAUGACGUCCUUAAACAGACUGUUUUACUACAAUUUGAACAUUCCUAUGUGCACACGUGAGAGACUGGCUAGCGUACUUUGCUUUCUUCCUAAAAAAUUUACGUCUGUUUGCGGAGGGUUGUCUGAGAACUUGUUCUGCAAACGAAACAUAACAGCAUAGCCUAGCUUCACACAAACCCUGUUCAAACACUGGCGUACUCGGUGAACUUUUACGUAAGCAGCCUUUUGUUAGUUCUUGAGAAACGCAAUUAUUGGACAGAAUUCACGCUUGACAGGACAACGUGUUCGUAUUUAUUGGAAAGCAGAAUCGUGGGGCAGAUAUACUCCUCAAUAGCUAAUAUAACAGAGCCUUUGAUAACGCUAUGCCUUCAAGCAUAGCAUUAUCGUUCCUUUGAACUAUGCAUUUUGUCGUGAGUUAGCAGCGGAACGGCCUGACUUUUUUUACAAUCGGCGUUCAUUUAUGCAGCUCAUGGCUGAAGCAUAGUAAUAAUGAAAUCCUACUUGCUGAAUUAAACAAAUUGUCUUUUCUUAUUGCACGUCAACCUUGUUAUCGGCGAAGUCAUUCGCGCGUUCGUACGUUCUAUCACGAUAUCAGGGACAAGUGAUGAUAGCUGUAUAGAGGCACUACAAGAGAAACUUCCCAGUUAGACUGCGUAUUGCGCAAGAAUAGGUUAUACAAGGUUUAAAACACAAGUUGCAUAGGUAGCAAAGCUCUUACAUCAUAAAAAAGUUAAGAAAAAACCGCAAGUACAGCUGUGCUGCUGAUAUGAGAUAUUUUUGUCGUUCUCGAAUACAUGCUUUAAGUAGGGUAAGAAAAAAAAGAGUUGAGAAAGUGUCUAUACGAGUAGGAGGUUCAUUCCUUAUUUCGCUACCAGUCUGCGUUCCUCGACAAAAAAGAAAAAAAAAACUUGCGGAUGGCCAGAAUAAGAGGUUGCUUUGAAAAUGGUUUCAAAUAUAGCGAUGGCGGAAAUUAAUGAAGUACAACAAAAAGAAAAACGACUAGAAGUAACAACAUAUGUACGAUUCUCAAAACGAGAUGCAUGCGUUGAAAACCUGUGUAGUAAUGUGUUGCGUUUUAACUUUCUUUUCGUG
rnacentral:lncRNA from 1 species